rnacentral:rRNA from 1 species
UACGUAGGGGGCAAGCGUUGUCCGGAUUUAUUGGGCGUAAAGGGCUCGUAGGCGGCCAACUAAGUCGGGUGUGAAAUCUCAGAGCUCAACUCUGAAACUGCACUCGAUACUGCUUUGCUUGAGGACUGGAGAGGAGAUUGGAAUUCACGGUGUAGCAGUGAAAUGCGUAGAUAUCGUGAGGAAGACCAGUGGCGAAGGCGGAUCUCUGGACAGUUCCUGACGCUGAGGCGCGAAGGCCAGGGGAGCAAACGGG